rnacentral:rRNA from 1 species
GAUGAACGCUGGCGGCGUGCCUAAUACAUGCAAGUCGAGCGAACGGACGAGAAGCUUGCUUCUCUGAUGUUAGCGGCGGACGGGUGAGUAACACGUGGAUAACCUACCUAUAAGACUGGGAUAACUUCGGGAAACCGGAGCUAAUACCGGAUAAUAUUUUGAACCGCAUGGUUCAAAAGUGAAAGACGGUCUUGCUGUCACUUAUAGAUGGAUCCGCGCUGCAUUAGCUAGUUGGUAAGGUAACGGCUUACCAAGGCAACGAUGCAUAGCCGACCUGAGAGGGUGAUCGGCCACACUGGAACUUAGACACGUUCCAGACUCCUACGGGAGGCAGCAGUAGGGAAUCUUCCGCAAUGCGCGAAAGCCUGACGGAGCAACGCCGCGUGAGUGAUGAAGGUCUUCGGAUCGUAAAACUCUGUUAUUAGGGAAGAACAUAUGUGUAAGUAACUGUGCACAUCUUGACGGUACCUAAUCAGAAAGCCACGGCUAACUACGUG